rnacentral:rRNA from 1 species
GUAGGUGGCAAGCGUUGUCCGGAAUUAUUGGGCGCAAAGCGCGCGCAGGCGGUCCUUUAAGUCUGAUGUGAAAGCCCACGGCUCAACCGUGGAGGGUCAUUGGAAACUGGGGGACUUGAGUACAGAAGAGGAAAGCGGAAUUCCACGUGUAGCGGUGAAAUGCGUAGAGAUGUGGAGGAACACCAGUGGCGAAGGCGGCUUUCUGGUCUGUAACUGACGCUGAGGCGCGAAAGCGUGGGGAGCAAACAGGGAUUAGAUACCCUGGUAGUCCACGCCGUAAACGAUGAGUGCUAAGUGUUAGGGGGUUUCCGCCCCCUUAGUGCUGCAGCUAACGCAUUAAGCACUCCGCCUGGGGAGUACGGCCGCAAGGCUG